rnacentral:rRNA from 1 species
GAUGAACGCUGGCGGCGUGCCUAAUACAUGCAAGUCGAGCGAACGGACGAGAAUCUUGCUUCUCUGAUGUUAGCGGCGGACGGGUGAUUAACACGUGGAUAACCUACCUAUAAGACUGGGAUAACUUCGGGAAACCGGAGCUAAUACCGGAUAAUAUUUUGAACCGCAUGGUUCAAAAGUGAAAGACGGUCUUGCUGUCCCUUAUAGAUGGAUCCGCGCUGCAUUAGCUAGUUGGUAAGGUAACGGCUUACCAAGGCAACGAUGCAUAGCCGACCUGAGAGGGUGAUCGGCCACACUGGAACUGAGACACGGUCCAGACUCCUACGGGAGGCAGCAGUAGGGAAUCUUCCGCAAUGGGCGAAAGCCUGACGGAGCAACGCCGCGUGAGUGAUGAAGGUCUUCGGAUCGUAAAACUCUGUUAUUAGGGAAGAACAUAUGUGUAAGUAACUGUGCACAUCUUGACGGUACCUAAUCAGAAAGCCACGGCUAACUACGUG